AAACCGUAGCUGUCAUCCUCUUGCUCGUCCGUAUCUGCCUGGUUGGUGGUGGCAUGGCGAUGCGCACGAUGGCCGCGAGCCUGAAGCAGAAGCUCCCCGUCGCCGUCCAGCGGGUGUUCGCGUCUUCUCGGGCUCUGCCAGCGGGUGCUCAACGAAGUCGCGAAGAUAAUCAAGAGGAAGCGCAGGAAGGACCUCUUGGCCACUGGUGCUGGCGUUAGUUGUGGAGGGAUUCUCACGUCAUAUACACUUUAUCAACUCAGCAGUUGAAGUGAUGACUGGCUCACCAAGUGAACUGAUGAAUGGAAAUCUAUCCUGCACUGCAUGUUUAACUAUCUAUCCUGCACUACAUAUUUAACUAGCUAGUUGUAUGAUUCCUGUCCUGUCUUAUGUGAGAGCACUCUAUAUAAGAUGAGGGUUCUAAGUUC